rnacentral:rRNA from 1 species
AACGAACGCUGGCAGCAUGCCUAACACAUGCAAGUCGAACGAGACCUUCGUGUCUAGUGGCGCCCGGGUUCGUAACGCGUUGGAUCCUGCCCUUAGGUUCGGCAUAACUCCCCGAAAUGGGUGCUAAUACCGGUUAAUGUCUUCGGACCAAAGAUUUAUCGCCUUUGGAUGGUCCCGCGUUGGUUUAGCUUGUUGGUAGGGUAAAAGCGUACCAAGGCGACGUUCCAUAGAUGGUCUGAGAGGAUGAUCAGCCACACUGGGACUGAGAAACGGACCAGACUGCUACGGGAGGGAGCAAUGGGGAAUAGUGGAAAAUGGGCGAAAGCAGGAACGAGCAAUGGGGGGUGAGUGAUGAAGGCGUGAGGGUUGUAAAGCUCAGUUACCAGGGAUGAUAAUGACAGUACCGGGAGAAGAAGCACCGGCUAACUACGUG